CUUUUCUUUAUGCUGUGUUAAUAGGAUACCGUAAACAUAGGCCGCCGACAAUCAUAUCAUAGUCUCAGUCAGUUCAUUUUCUCUGUGAGGAAUGAAUUCUUAGCUGCUGCAAGUUUGGCAAAUAGAUACCGUACUCGUUUUUCUGUGUAAACAUAGUUAGCACCUAUGUUUUUGAAGUAGUUCCUUACUUACCUCUGUGUAAACUGAAUUUGGUUCAGUUCAAAAACUGCACUACCUGACAGUUUUGGGCAGCGAGCUUCUAACUGAAAAACGAGUUCUUUAUGCUCAUAAUUUCAAGUUGACCUCUACAUAUGAGUUGUAAAGCAUGUUCUAAGGUUUCCGUAGAGUACUUAUUUGCUUCGUUUGGAUGUACGGUUUGAGAGCAGCCGUCUAUUUUACUUUGCUGUCCAGAAAUAUAGUACAGUUUUUCUGUGUAAACAUAGUUAGCACCUCUGUUUUUGAAGUAGUUCCUUACUUACCUCAGUUUUUGAAGUAGUUCCUUACCUCUGUGUAAACUGAAUUUGGUUCAGUUAAAAAACUGCACUACCUGACAGUUUUGGACAGCGAGCUUCUAACUGAAAAACGAGUUCAUUAUGCUCAUAAUUUCAAGUUGGCCUCUACAUAUGAGUUGUAAAGCCUGUUCUAAGGUUUCC
rnacentral:lncRNA from 1 species